ensembl:lncRNA
GGGAGGUCAGACAAAGCUGUUCACUGGCCAACACCUGAAAGCACAUUUAUUAAAGGUAAAAAGAAAGAAACAUGCUCUGCAGAGUGACUUUGGGUGAAGUAAAAGUAGGAAAAAAAGUGUGUUCUCCAGCAUGAGAGUGGACUGCUGUGAAAGGACACAGUGCCGGAGAGUUCAGUGGCAACUGUCCUUUAUGUCACCUCCCACUCCUCAGGCUGACAUCAGUCCUUAGGAAGGCCUUAGGAAGAGGCAUGGACAUUUACAUCUCAACUGAAGGCAUUGAUUGGAAGGGUUUCUCCCUGAGCUGGUCCACUUGGAAGCCAGAUUUCCCUAUUCUGGACAUUCAUACGGAUGGAAUUAUAUAAUAUGUGGCUUUUGUGCCUGACUUUUUUCAUUUAGUGUAUUUUUUUUUCUGCUAUUGAGGAUUGAACCCAGGCAUCCCCAGCCAUUUUUAUUAUUUUAAUUUUGAGACAAGUUUCUCACAAGUUGCUCAGGGGAACUCAAACUUGCAAUCCUCCC